rnacentral:lncRNA from 1 species
ACAAUACUGUCACGCCCCAAUCCCCGCCAAUUUGGUUGGGUUCGGGUCACGUCAACAGACGCCGAACGGACAGCAUCUCCCCUGUCCGCCCAAGGCUCCAACAACAAGUAUAAUUAAGCAAUCAACAAAGAGAUAUGCAAUUAUAUAAGGCUUGCACGAGGGCAAGCAAUAACGGAAGCGAAAGCUCUAAGCUAAACAUACAACCAUACAUGAUAUUUGAUUAAAUUUAAACCAAAUAAAAGUGAACUAAAACUAUUACAUUCAUUUUCCAUUCAUUCAUAAUUUUUUUUACAACUUAAUCAUUCCACCAAAACACAUGCUUGUUUACAACUUUACGUUUCUCUAAAUCAACAAAAGAAAGUUGAUACAUGUACAAAAGGAAUGACUAAAAAUGCAUGUCCCGGUGACCACUAGCUAUGGCGCAAUACUCUUGCCUCGGUCCUCCGCCGUCCCGCUCGCGCUCGGACCUGUAGGGUUAGUGGUGUGAGAACUACAACGAAGUUCCCAGUGGGUUCGGC